GCAAGAAGAAAAGCAGUGGUGAUGUGGAAGAGACUGCUAGGAAGUGUCAAGUGUGUAUAAGACUCACUUUUGAGUGUUAGCCGUCGGAGCGGGGUUCUGUCCCCGCUGGGCUGCCACCCGCCCUGGGCUCCCGCCAUGGAACUCAGCGUCGAGUACCUGCGGGAGAAACUGCAGCAGGACCUGGAGGCAGAGCACGUGGAAGUGGAGGACAGGACUCCCAACUGUUGCGCGUCCAGCUUCCGAGUCCUGGUGGUGUCGGCCAAGUUCGAGGGGAAGCCGCUGCUUCAGAGACACCAGCUGGUGAACACGUGCCUAGCAGAAGAGCUCCCGCACAUCCAUGCCUUUGAGCAGAAAACCCUGACCCGGACUUGCACAGCCAUUAAAUUAUGAAUCAGGGAAGAAAAAAAAAAAAAGACUCACUUUGUCGGAUUUACGAAUGAAUCUGACUUAAUGUUCUCCCAGAACGGAACUCGUUCGUAAGUCGGGGACUUACUGUAUAAAGAGUAAUGUGACAAGAAAUUUGCUAAUCUGGAUCCUAUAGUUAUUUACAGUAAAAUAUAUCCCUAUUAUAAAUAUGCCUUUGAAAACAAAGAUAACAUCUUAAUGAGCUUUAAGACUUUUAGAGUGCAUAUGUAUGAAACAUUUUUUUUCUCAUGGUAUCCCAAAAUUCAUGAUAUGAAAAGAAACAGUUUUUCUUUUAAAAUAUUUUAUUGGGGAAUUAGGGGAGGGGAACAGUGCU